UACAGAGGGUGCGAGCGUUGUUCGGAAUACUGGGCGUAAAGCGCGCGCAGGCGGCCUUUUAAGUCUGACGGUGAAAUGCCGGGGCUCAACCCCGUGCCCGCCGCGGAUACUGGGAGGCUGGAGACAUGUAGAGGCAAGCGGAAUUCCGGGUGUAGCGGUGGAAUGCGUAGAGAUCCGGAAGAACACCGGAGGCGAAGGCGGCUUGCUGGGCAUUGUCUGACGCUGAGGCGCGAAAGCGUGGGGAGCGAACAGG
rnacentral:rRNA from 1 species